ACGGAAGGCAGCAGUAGGGAAUUUUCGGCAAUGGGCGAAAGCCUGACCGAGCAAUGGUGCGUGAACGAUGAAGGUCUUUGGAUUGUAAAGUUCUUUUAUAAGGGACGAACGUACAGGGUAGGAAAUGACUCUGUAGUGACGGUACCUUUUGAAUAAGCUCCGGCUAACUAUGUGCCAGCAGCCGCGGUAAUACAUAGGGAGCAAGCGUUAUCCGGAUUUAUUGGGCGUAAAGAGUGCGUAGGCGGUUUAUUAAGUCGGUAGUGAAAUGCUGGGGCUCAACCUCAGCCUGCUUCCGAAACUGAUUUACUAGAGUAUGGUAGAGGCAAGUGGAAUUCCAUGUGUAGAGGUAAAAUUCGUAGAUAUAUGGAGGAACACCAGUGGCGAAGGCGGCUUGCUAGGCCAGCACUGACGCUAAUGCACGAAAGCGUGGGUAGCAAACAGGAUUAGAUACCCUGGUA
rnacentral:rRNA from 1 species